CUCGGCGCCAUUUUGUCUGAACGGCGGUGGUCGCAGCUCUAUCGUAUUUUAUGUUUCUGGCGAGAUGAGAGCCGACUCUGUAUCCUGUAGGUUCAUUUUAGUGCGGCAUCUAUCCAGCGUUCACACCAGGACAGCACCUAGUGAAGGUCAGAGGAGUCGCGAGCCUGUCAAAAGGUCGAUUGGAAACUGUGGCUGUCCGAGUAACAGGGGGAUGGCGCAGCUUUAGCGGCACCGGCACCGGAAGUGGACGGGCCGCGCGGCGGCCAUAGCAAAUUGGUCUGAAGAAAACAGAAUUUCAGUGACAUAUUCUAAAGUAUUACUGAGAAUAAACCUCAUUUUGUGAGGAAAUGAAGGAACAUGUUCCAGUUUUAAAAGACCUGCAUCUCCUGUUGAAAAAUCUGUUUCUGGUCCCUUUAUGAAUGAUGGAAAUAGAAGCAAAUGGAUAGUCUUAAUCAGAUAAGUGCUUUAAUAGUCUAAAUAUAUUUUUUGUCAUCUCUAAAAUUGAAUUCUUUAGAACAUUUUGUAAUCUCUAUAGACUAAAACUUUAUUCUUUAAAACAUUUUUGAUUUCUCUUUUCAGGUGCCAGUUUCAAGUUUUACAGUGAAUAAGUGGAAGCAAUCAGAUGUUGUUGGGAGCCGCCUGAGUUUUGGCUGCCUCAGGCAAGGAGAUAUCGCUGUCCAGGGAGCAACCAAAAAACAAGAUUUACAUCUGGAGGC